UACGUAGGGACCAAGCGUUGUUCGGAUUUACUGGGCGUAAAGGGCGCGUAGGCGGCCACGCACGUCCGUUGUGAAAUCGCCCGGCUCAACUGGGCGGGGUCAGCGGAUACGGUGUGGCUCGAGCAAGCUAGGGGGCAAUGGAAUUCCCGGUGUAGUGGUGGAAUGCGUAGAUAUCGGGAGGAACACCAGUGGCGAAGGCGGUUGCCUGGAGCUUUGCUGACGCUGAGGCGCGAAAGCGUGGGGAGCGAUCCGG
rnacentral:rRNA from 1 species